CAAAAUGAAGUUCGGUUCAGCGAUGUCAAAUUUGAGAUGAGUUUGUUUUGAUUUUGUUUGGCAAAUUUGAGAUCACUGAACCGAACUUCAUUUUGAUUGGCGACUUUGCCGAAAUAAAAAAGUGACAUUUCUGGACUUAGCGCGUAUUGAAAGUAGGUGUUUUGCAUUAUUUAUGGCGCGCCGUGUUGAUUAACAUCGGAGAGGAACCAGAAGGAACCAGCAGAAGGAAUUUCCACGAAUAAACGUCCCGCUGGAACCAUCUCCCUUUCAAGCACUGCAUUCCCUCGGAGUGGCCGCUGGUGAAAGUUGGACGGGCUUGCAAACAUGACUACCUUGGUGCGGAGGAUCCGGUAGGACGGUGUCGUUUGAACGACUGCCGGAAGCGAUUGAAAGUGACUGUUUAAGGCACCGCUGACUUUCGGACCACGUCGUUGGUCAACUUAACGACCUUGGUGGGGAGUACCCGGCAAGACGGUGGUGUUUGAACGACCGACGGACUAGGUGGCGGUGAAGACGGAGUGGAAAUAGGAACCGGAGGGGUACCGUAACCAGAAGUCGACUUCCAGGCCGCGUGCUUUUGAGGAACAAGUCGUUGGUUCGGCAGAAUGCCGGUAUGUUGAUACGUUGGGACGAGCUAGAGCAGAUGGGUUGUUAUGGACCGUGCUGGUCAAGUGAACCUGCAGGACGGAUAUCAUGACGAUUGGUCCGUUGGUGACAGCACGUGAAGUUUGACGGAGAAGAUGUUUUGGAAGUUUAUGGUGCUGAUGAUGGACAAUCUUUGCUGCGACGAGUUUCUGCCGUUUUUCCGUGGGUGGCAAAAGUGCACUCCUGAGCAGCUGCUCGAAGCUCCGCUCCGGAAAAGUUGCACCGAAAACAUAGAGAAAACCUCAGGCAGACAGUUAUCAAGACGUUGAGCGAUCCUUGGUCCGCCUAAAGCAGGAAAACAACACCGCGGGAGGCUAUCCGGGUGGGGUGAAGACGAAGGGGGAACAGAAACCUGCAGGACGUUCAUCGCAUCGCAUUGAAUGGGUGCUUGCAUCACGGGAAGACGACGUUUUUGGACUUUUUUGUUCGGCAGACGCACACGCAGUUUCAGGACAUGGACGAGCGGAACCUGCGGUACACGGACACGCUGUUUACGGAGUAGGAGCGGGGCGUUAGUAUUAAGGCUGUUUAAAGACGCGGCGGAGAGCGGGACGUUGCACGCCGGGCAGGAGGUUCGAGUGCUGGGUGAAAACUACUCGCUCGUGGACGAGGUAGAUUCCAGUCCGCUGUAGGUCGAGCUGUUGUGGAUCUACAAGGCGCAUUACAAGGUCGAGUUGAACCGCGUCCACGCCGGGAAUCGACCUGUGCAUCGUCGAAACCUCGACCAUCACCGAUGUCAACAUGAACGAGGACGUAUUUGUCUUCCGGCCGCCGAACUCCCGAAAAUAAUGAACGGCCUUCGCAAGGUCAACAAAUCAUUACUCUCGCCUCUGAUGGAAGAAUCCGGUGAGCACGUGAUUCUCGGCGCCGGUAAACUCUACUCUACCUGGACUGCGUGAUGCAUGACCUGCGCAAGAUGUACUCCGAGAUCGACAUCAAGUGGCCGAUCCGGUGGUGGCUUUUUGCGAGAGUGUCGUUGAUACGAGUUCGUUCAAGCGUUUCGAGAAAGAACAGGAUUACGAUGAUUGCGGUACCGCUGGAGAAGGGCCUUGAGGACAUUGAGAACGAAUCGGUUUGCAUUGUUUGGAACAAGAACAAGCUAGCCGAGUUCUUCCAGGUCAGCUACGACUGAGAUCUGAUUGCGGCACAAUCUACCUGGGCCUUCGGUCCGGACAACACCAGCCCAAACAAAGUCCUGCUCGGCACCAUCAAAGACUACAUCGUGUAAAGUUUCCAGUGGAGCACGCGCGCCCAUUCUAAACGUCGAGUUCCAAAUCCUGGAUCAAUCCAUCGCCCAGGAACCGUUCCACCACGGAGGUGGCCAAAUCAUCCCAACCUCCCGGCGAGUCGCCUACUGGAACCGUACCACUUCAUCGUGUACACCGUCCUCGUCCGGCGACGUGGCCACGUCACCCAGGACGCACCCGUGCCCGGUUCCCCCUCUACACCAUCAAAGAUUUCAUCCGUUUUGCCGUGGAAGGUUCUACCGCUCGAUCAACCUCUCCCAAAGAAACUUCCUUCGCCUCCUCACGCUCUGGUUCUACUACGGCCAAUACCCGAAGGUCUUUGACGCCAUAGGACAUGCGCAUAAUCGAGACAACCUGCAGCUAAUCGCCCGAACCGACACCCCGCGCGACCUCGUCGGCGAACUCGUCAUUGAUAUCGGCAAGUGUCAUUCGAUAGUCCUCUUCCACCCGUAAUCAAUUCCGUCGUCCAAACAAGAUUCUCGGUUCAAAUGCUGCAAAUGAUAAUGAUGAAAUUAACAAACAGUAGCAGUUAUUACGGCAUCUCUAUCAUGCUAGAGUACGGUUCCCGUUGGUUGGUUCCAGUUUGUUCGCCCAAAACUGCCUGGAGGUGCGCUUCGAGUUUUAUUGGGCAGAUGAGAAGGAGGAGGUGGUGAGGAAGGAUGGGCUGAAACAGACGCUGGAUCCGGAAGUGCAGCAAACGCUGGAGUCGAUAAGAGAGGAUCGAAAAAAAUGCGGGUUCGGCAGCUCUGCUAGUGCUGCCGAACCCGCAAAUUGUAGCAAGCAAUGUAAGUUUGAGGCCUUCAGGAGAUUUGAAGUUGAUUUCUUGUAUCUUUACAGCAAUUGAAUCAUUUCUGAAGAAAACGGAGCACUUUCCAACGCCGUCGAAACUUCCGCCACCAAAACCAAUGCGACUUCUACCGGCAAGGUUACAGCAGCACCAGCCGGAACCUGAUUCGAAGGCCGCAUCUGUUUGGGGUGAAUUUAAAGUGAUGGGAGGUGAUCGGCAGCGAAGGUUAGAGCAAGGUGGGUAGAUUGGCGGCAGCCGCGGCAUGAGGCUUGCGCGAUUCGGGAGGACUGCACGAGUUAGUCAAGUUGAUCCCCGAGGACACUCAGGACGGGUCGUUCUACAGGGCGAGUCUCGCAGUUCACCAAUGCGAGUACGAGCUGGCGCAAACGACGCGUGAUCUGCUCAAUAUGGAACUCACAGCGAUAGCCGGAGGUGCGCGGAUGUACUCGGCCAGCGGCUAAGUGCAGCUCGCGUGCUACGAGAAAGGCCAUCACGCCCAAACUUGUACAAGGCGUGAUAUCUCUGGGCGUCAUUGAACUUCGAGGUCUUCCAAAACCAAAAGUACCCAGUUAACUCAAUCCGAAUUCUGAAACGGAAUCUAAUUAGAAUCGUAUACAAAUUCCGUUUCAAACGCAACAACCGGUUCCGUGUUCGAACCGGUUGUUGCGUUUGAAACGGAAUUUGUAUACGAUUCUAAUUAGAUUCCGUUUCAGAAUUCGGGUUGAUUUGACUGGGUAGCAGGAAGAUCUCCAUAAGAAUCGUGAUUGGAUAGUACGUUACUUUCCAGCUGAUGCGCCGUGAGAGGACCUCGAUUACACUUGCGCUGGCUUCGGAAGAUACCGCCGAUCCACCGAUAUCUAAGCUGUACGAUCCCAAGGUCUGCAAAAGCAUCCUCACCAGCUCGUUGCCGAUUCGGCCAGAAUUAACAGCAUCAUCGAUCGCGAACAGCAAGAACUCAACAAUCAGAUUGUCGUCGACAGAAUGGACUGCCCGGAGAACAUCUUUGUCCAGCAAGCCCUCGAUUAGCUUAAAGACCGUAGGGAGAAGGUGGCGAGCAAGAAGAUUGCGGAACCAUCGUCGGAACCAGCUGCUCCGGUGGUCGAGCAAGCCGAACCGGUCACGGAAUCGCCAGAGCCAACUCCACGAUGGGUUGGACAAAGGUCCGCUCAGGUUUAUCGGGAAAAUUUACCGAAAGGCUGUCCUGCUCGAUGUCGAAGGAUUUGCGAAAGCGGCUAAAAUAUCACAUCUGCACCCAGUUUGACGUGGUCAAGGUUGAGCUUGAACCGGACAAGAUUUCCACGGAGGUUUUGGUGCAGUUUAAGGUCAGUUAAACGAUCGCAGGAAGAAUUGCCAAAAGCGCGCGAGACCAGAGUUACGACUUUUCUGUUGAACCUACCCUGGGAACCACUUUUGGAACGGACUUGUUCGCAUCUUGUAGUACAUCGUCUGGCGCUGGUCGUUCGUGGUCAAAGGUUGCACACUCAUUUGCACUUGAACUUCCGUUCCCCAGAUGCUGUCCACCUCACCCCGUUGGCCUUUCCUCGACACGGCCAGUUCCACAAACGCGUUCGAACCGCUAUCCACGCCGCCGGCUCCCAAGGUGCUAUAUGUAACUGGCUCGAAUAUGUCCACUGCCCCUUCGGAGGAACGCCGUCGUAGAUCCGGCUCGAUCUCGGAUGUCGACGCCGAAGAGGAGCUGCUGGAAAUUGCACGCUCCCCCAAGUUCCGCAACGAUCUGAGUUUUGCCAUUGAGGCGGCGCCUGAGUCAGGACGAUCUUUAUAAGAACCCUGGCGGAGACAAACAAUGUACGCCUUCCCCGCCGUAGAAUGAUCUACUCAUCCUCUUCCGAAGCAACUCCAGCCCAAGCGCAGAGUGGACAAAUCUCGGCGCCGUCAAAGACUUCAUCAUGCAAUGGAUCUAGUGGGACACACGCGAAAAACCACUGUGCGGGAAACACAUCCGAAACGUUAAGUUCCGGAUUCUCGACGCCGUCAUCGCCCAGAAACCGCUCCAUCGCGGAGGUGGUCAAUUCAUCCCAAUCACCCGCCGAAUCGCCUACUCAGCCUUUGUCAUGGCCACACCCCGCCUCAUGGAACCGUACCUCUUCGUCGAAGUGCAAGACGUAUUCGCCCGGCGACGUGCCCCGUCACCCAGGACGCACUCGUCUCCGGUUCCCCCCUCUACACCAUCAAAGCAUUCAUCCCCUCCAGCGAUUCGUUCGAUGUCUUUCACCACUGGCAGAUUGUCCCCGGCGAUCCGCUCGACAAGAGCAUCGUCAUCCGGUCGCUGGCAAGGUCACUCGGUAGUCCUCGUCCACCCGUAGUCGCUGGAACCGUUGCAUUAAAUGCUGAAAAUGAUAAUGAUUAAGAGGCAGUAUUUGUAGAUUCUGCUCGGUUUGUUCUAGAGGUCGUAUCGAGGUGCUCCGAUUUGGAUGAAACUUUCAGGGUUUGUUUGUCUAUACAUGAGAUGAACUCAUGUCAAAUAUGAGCCCUCUACGACAAAGGGAAGUGGGGUAAAACGGGCAUUGAAGUUUGAGGUCCAAAACACAUGAAAAAUCUUAAAAUUGCUCGCAUUUCCGUAAAACUUCAUCAAUUCCAACUCUCUUAGAUGCAUUCGAAAGGUAUUUUGAAGCCCUUCAAAAUGUGCUAUAGACAUCCAGGAUUGGUUUGACUUUUUCUCAUAGCUUUUGCAAAUUACUGUUAAAAAUGGAUUUUUUUAAAACCUUAAUAACUUUUGGCAACAGCCUCCAACACUCAUACUCCCAUAGGUCAUAAGUUAUGGAAUUUCAUGGACUAUAAGCCUACGGUAUUAACUUUUUGGCCAAUCGCAGUUUUUCUCAAAGUUUUACGAUUUUUCUAGAACAAACAUUUUACAACGUUAGUUUUUGCCCUGUAGGCCAAGAAGACGGCACUUUUUGGUCUUAAUUUUGUCAUAUUCGGAAUCCUCGGACAAUUUCACGUAAGUUAGAAGUUUUGGAGUUUUAAUUUUGAUUUAAAAAAUAAUUAAAUAAAACAUUUUUGAAAAAAGAAAUAGAUCUUAUUUACCCUAUGAUCAAAACGUCAAAUGCUGUAUCAAGUAGGCGAAAACUUGUUUUACCCUUAAUCCGACAAAAUGCUAAAUAAUAUUUUAAUUAAUUCUAAAUGGCAUUUUCUCCAAUCAAAUUCAAAAUUCCAACACCUCAAUCUAAUGUAAAAUUUUCUGAGGAUUCCGAAUAUGACAAAAUGGAGACCAAAAAGUGCCGCUAUGGAGGCCUACAGGGCAAAAACUAACGUUGUAAAAUGUUUGUUCUAGAAAAAUCGUAAAACUAUGAAAAAAACUGCGAUUGGCCAAAAAGUUAAUACCGUAGGCUUAUAGUCCAUGAAAUUCCCUAACUUUUGACCUAUGGGAGUAUGGGUGUUGGAGGCUGUUGCCAAAAGUUAUUAAGGUUUCAAAAAAAUCCUUUUUUAACAGUAAUUUGCAAAAGCUAUGAGAAAAAGUCAAACCAAUCCUGGAUGUCUAUAGCACAUUUUGAAGGGCUUCAAAAUACCUUUCGAAUGCAUCUAAGAGAGUUGGAAUUGUUGAAGUUUUACGGAAAUGCGAGCAAUUUUAAGAUUUUUCAUGUGUUUUGGACCUCAAACUUCAAUGCCCGUUUUACCCCACUUCCCUUUGUCGUAGAGGGCUCAUAUUUGGCAUGAGUUCAUCUCAUGUAUAGACAAACAAACCCUGAAAGUUUCAUCCAAAUCGGAGCACCUCGAUACGACCUGUUUCACAUCGGUGAAAAACUCGCU